CAUCCUCCAAGGCUAAAUACUCCUGACUGACCGAUAGUGAACCAGUACCGUGAGGGAAAGGCGAAAAGAACCCCGGCGAGGGGAGUGAAAAAGAACCUGAAACCGUGUACGUACAAGCAGUGGGAGCACAGGUUUACCUGUGUGACUGCGUACCUUUUGUAUAAUGGGUCAGCGACUUAUAUUCUGUAGCAAGGUUAACCGAAUAGGGGAGCCGUAGGGAAACCGAGUCUUAACCGGGCGUUAAGUUGCAGGGUAUAGACCCGAAACCCGGUGAUCUAGCCAUGGGCAGGUUGAAGGUUGGGUAACACUAACUGGAGGACCGAACCGACUAAUGUUGAAAAAUUAGCGGAUGACCUGUGGCUGGGGGUGAAAGGCCAAUCAAACCGGGAGAUAGCUGGUUCUCCCCGAAAGCUAUUUAGGUAGCGCCUCGUGAAUUCAUCUCCGGGGGUAGAGCACUGUUUCGGCUAGGGGGCCAUCCCGGCUUACCAACCCGAUGCAAACUGCGAAUACCGGAGAAUGUUAUCACGGGAGACACACGGCGGGUGCUAACGUCCGUCGUGAA
rnacentral:rRNA from 1 species